GUGCUCGCUUUGGCAGCAUAUAUACUAAAAUUGGAACAAUGGAAGAUUAGCAUGGCCCCAGUGCAAAGCUGACACACAAAUUCAUGAAGUGCUCCAUAUUUUU